AUGCAAACAGGCCCAUAGUCUCAAACUCUCAAUGCACCAGCAACUAACUUGAAAACUGAAAUUUUAAUUUGCAUUGCAGAAUGGCUUCAUCUCACACUUUCUUAGUUCCAAUACAUCUGUUUAAAAUCAUUAAUGCGGACGAAAAAGUUCAUAACGAAGCCAUGGUUUCUUCUCAACUGAAUGAUGGCACUACAUAUCAUGUUUGAAGAAAUAAACUAUCAGUUUCAUCACACGUUAGCAACGACUAGCCCAGGAUAUCUAUACACAACCAUCAGUUUGCUUUGACUACAAAAGUUGUACAUGGUUGGCUGGUGUUGCCAUUGGACUAGCAUGUCCAUCAGUCAGAAGUUUUCAAGCUAACUUAUCUAACUACUGUGGAUUCUAUCUGGAGUAACAAUGCAGAAUAUAGACAAAGCCAAGUCAGAGAACGCUUUCGAGUCCCAAAAUUCAAGAUAAUCUCUAGAGUAUAUAAGCCAUCACAGAAAGCAAACAUGUGGAUGUGUAGCCCAAAUAACAUAACUAUAAGGUUGAAUAUUUUAGCAAGGACGUAAAAAGGAAAACCAUGAACAAAAAAUUAGAGAGCGUAUGCAAUGAAGAUCUAAAAAAGAAUAGUUCCUUCAUGAGUGGUAUGUUUCCAAGAUUAACAUGAACAGGCCUUUAUAAACUCUCUAGGAAAUCGUAAAUGGAUGCAAAUCUCCUUCAUGUCAAGAAGGGAUGAGAGCUAUAAGAGGCAGAAUAGGCUAUUGUCAGAUCCUGCAAGCACUAACCAAACAGUAGGUAAAUAGAUGUUUUAAUGAACUACACAAACAACACAACAUACACAUUUCUAUUCUUGCAUUGACAUAUAUAAACGUGUCAGUAAAUAGUAUAAAAUGUUGCCAUCAGUCCGGUCUGGACCAUUGUCUCAGUAAAUAGUAUAAAAUGCUAAAGCAUACACUUCAUAAAGACAUUAGAUUCUCACUAAAUGGUGAGCUGCAUUUUGAGCCAACGGCCUACAUAAAAUUUACUUCUCAAAGCAUUGUCAAAAGGUAACAUGGGAAACCAAUUAUUGUGUUAAAACAUCUUUAGCUGAAAUUAGUUGUUACAUAUGAUUUUCUCCCAAAAAUCGGCCUGAUGACUUAAAACUUAUUUUCCCUAUUCCAGUUCAUCCUAUAUACCACGAAAAUGAGGAAAUUUAUUGGAACCUGUACGACAGAGACCAUAGCCAUGCAUCUGAUUGUUUACUUUCUUAAAUAAUGCCAAUGCUUAUAACCCAACUCUAUGUGAUAGUUCAAAGUUUAUUUAAGUGAGCAUCUCUCUUUCGCAGAUAACAUGUACAGAUGUGGGCCCUGCCCAGUUAUCCUACAGCCCACUAGGUAUUUCCAGUAGGACCAAUGGCUCCAAACCGUUACAUCUGAACCAAGUAAAGUUGUACUAUUUUAGCAUAACUUAAGUGAACUCACUUCCAGAGACUUUCAAUAGCUGAUAGCUGAAAGACUACAUCUAUAAUUAGUUAGCUAACUAGAGCAAAAGUGGAUUGCUGUGAAUCUGCAUAUGAGCAAACCUAAAUUACUUUUAGAUCAAACAGGAACUGAAAAUAAGAUUAAGCGAGAGACAGGUUAAUUGAUACUACUAAAUACGAAUCACUAAAACCAGGAGGCAACAUCCCCGCCAGUUGCUAUCAGAAAAGACUAUUUACCUAAAUAAGAUCCUCCAAUUAUCCACUAUGAAUUAAAAAAACAUUAAUAGAACAUUAGGAGUUCAUUACCCACAAUGAAGGAGACCUUACCUUGGCUCAUCGGGGCUGUUUGGAUGCCGCCCAUACCAGAUUUGCCAAAUCAGGGCUCGCCAAAAAAUUUGUGCACUAUUUUGCCGCGUGGAUACGACAACAACCUGAUGCUAGAACUGAACGAGCAACCAAAACUUUGGCGCAUAACCAAAAACUCUGCUUCCAACCAAAGGCCAACAAGCCAGUCAAUACCCAAAUAUUUUUGGUAAGGCUGUUGCUGGCUGGAUGCAAACAGGCCCAUUGUCUCAAACUCUCAAUGCACCAGCAACUAACUUGAAAACUAAAAUUUUAAUUUGCAUUGCAGAAUGGCUUCAUCUCACACUUUCUUAGGUCCAAUAAGUGUGUUUAAAAUCAUUAAUGCGGAUGGAAAAGUUCAUAACGAAGCCAUGGUUUCUUCUCAACUGAAUGAUGACACUACAUAUCAGGAUUCAGAAACAAACUAUCAGUUUCAUCACACGUUAGCAACGACUAGCCCAGGAUAUCUAGCAGACAUACAUCAACGGACAACCAGCACACAGUUACGAAUUUUCAUAACCCGUUCAUGGUUCAU
rnacentral:lncRNA from 1 species